rnacentral:rRNA from 1 species
AUAAAAGCUAACAAGGGCACACGGAGGAUGCCUAGGCAACAGCAGCCGAUGAAGGACGUGAUAAGCUGCGAUAAGCCGGGAGGAGAUGCACAUAAUCGUUAAUCCCCGGAUCUCCGAAUGGGAAAACCUGCAUGCCUGGAGGGCAUGCGUGAAAACGGUAAGCCCGCGAACUGAAACAUCUAAGUAGCGGGAGGAAAGGAAAGUAAAAACGAUUCCCUGAGUAGCGGCGAGCGAACGGGGAAGAGCCUAAACCGUGCCAGUGCCAAGCGGACAGCGUUGCUGGCACGGGGUUGCGGGACUUCCAUUAACGGAUUGUCAUAAUGUUUAAACUGUAUGCAUGUAAGUGGAAUCAGCUGGGAAGCUGGACCAAAGAAGGUGAUAGUCCUGUAGAACAUAAAAUACAUAUAGUGACUGGAAGCACCCGAGUAGCGUCAGGCACGAGGAAUCUGGCGUGAAUCAGCGUGGACCAUAUCACGCAAGGCUAAAUACUGCUGUUGACCGAUAGUGAAGAGUACCGUGAGGGAAAGGUGAAAAGAACCCUGAGCAAGGGAGUGAAACAGAAUUUGAAACCGUGUGCUUACAAACGGUAGGAGCGCUUUAUGCGUGACUGCGUGGAUUUUGGUUAAUCAUCCUGCGAGUUAUGAUUAGUGGCAAGGUUAAUAAAGCGGAGCCGAAGGGAAACCGAGUCUUAAUAGGGCGUUAAGUCGCUAGUCAUAGACGCGAAACCUAGUGAUCUAGGCCUGUCCAGGCUGAAGCUGAGGUAAGACUCAGUGGAGGGCCGAACUCACCGCCGUUGAAAAGUUGGGAGAUGAGGCAGGUCUAGGGGUGAAAAGCCAAUCGAACUAGGAGAUAGCUCGUUCUCUCCGAAAUGCAUUUAGGUGCAGCCUUGACGUCAAGAUAUGUGGGGGUAGAGCUCUGUAUGGUCUAGGGGGCGUACUGCUUACCGAAAUCAAGCAAACUUCGAAUACCAUAUAUUAAUAGUCAGGAGUGAGUCCGCGGAUGACAAGGUCCGCGGACGAGAGGGGAACAGCCCAGACCGCCAGCUAAGGUCCCUAAUUAUNNNNNNNNNNNNNNNNNNNNNNNNNNNNNNNNNNNNNNNNNNNNNNNNNNNNNNNNNNNNNNNNNNNNNNNNNNNNNNNNNNNNNNNNNNNNNNNNNNNNCUAUGCUAAGCUGAAAGGCGACGUAUAUGGGCUGACACCUGCCCAGUGCCGGAAGGUUAAGAGGAGGAGUGAGAGCUCCGAAUUGAAGCCCCGGUGAACGGCGGCCGUAACUAUAACGGUCCUAAGGUAGCGAAAUUCCUUGUCGGGUAAGUUCCGACCUGCACGAAUGGUGAAAUGAUUUGGGAGCUGUCUUGGCUGGAGACCUGGUGAAGUUGUAAUGCCGGUGAAGAUACCGGCUACCUGCAGUAGGACGGAAAGACCCCGUGGAGCUUUACUGCAGUCUGGCAUUGGGUUUUGGCUGCGUGUGUAUAGGAUAGUUGGGAGACUGUGAAGCUGAGGCGUCAGUUUCAGCCGAGUCGCCGUUGGAAUACCAACCAUAUGCCGUUGAAAUUCUAAUCUGGUAACGGAGACAGUGCUAGAUGGGCAGUUUGACUGGGGCGGUCGCCUCCAAAAGAGUAACGGAGGCGUUCAAAGGUUCCCUCAGGCUGGAUGGAAAUCAGCCUAGGAGUGCAAACGCAUAAGGGAGCUUGACUGCAAGACUGACGGGUCGAGCAGGCACGAAAGUGGGAGUUAGUGAUCCGGCGGUUCCGUAUGGAAGGACCGUCGCUCAACGGAUAAAAGCUACCCCGGGGAUAACAGGCUGAUACUUCCCAAGAGUCCAUAUCGACGGAAGUGUUUGGCACCUCGAUGUCGGCUCGUCUCAUCCUGGGGCUGGAGAAGGUCCCAAGGGUUGGGCUGUUCGCCCAUUAAAGAGGCACGCGAGCUGGGUUCAGAACGUCGUGAGACAGUUCGGUCCCUAUCCACUGCAGGCGCCUGAAUACUGAAAAGAUCUGACCUUAGUACGAGAGGACCGGGUUGGACAGACCUCUGAUGUACCAGUUGUCACGCCAGUGGCACGGCUGGGUAGUCACGUCUGGAACGGAUAACCGCUGAAAGCAUCUAAGCGGGAAGCCGGCUUUGAGAUGAGUGUUCGCAGUAUCCAUGGAGAACACAUGGUUGAUAGGCCAGAGGUGCAAGCGCAGCAAUGCGUUCAGCUGACUGGUACUAAUAUUACGUAUGCUUUUUAGG